ensembl:lncRNA
AAGGCGCGCUCGCCCCACCCUCGCGCGGCUGCGGCCUCGCGCGGGCGCUAACGGCCGCUUCCCGCGGCCCCCGGUAGGUCGGUUGUAGCGGCGGGAGGGGCCCUGCUGCGGCGCCGCUYCCCGGCCUCGCUUCCCCUUCCGCCAGCCGCGGGGCGGCCCUGCGCGCGCGCUCCGCCGUUAACGGUCGCUAACGGUCGCUGCCGCGCGGCGCGGGCCUGUGAGGCCCAGGGGCUCUCCGGCGUCCUUUCGCCUUGUCCUCCGCUCAGAGCGCCUUUGCUGGGGCUAGGGGGAAGGAGCCUCCGCUAAAGCACAAGCGAGCGCUUCCAGCCUGCCUCAAGUGCGUCUCCUGCCUUCUGCCCCAGCAGGCGUGCUCGCAGCAGGCUGUGAAGCCCGGCCUGGCUGUAGCACGCUGCCCCUUUGCUGCGGAAAAGCUUAGCGUCUUGCAGCUAUGUGGGGUGCCAUCAGAUGAUUCACCUUCAAGUAGCAUCAGUAAAAAUUCUCUUGGAUGGUUUCAAAGAUCCAACCAGUUUACAGUCCAAAACUGUCCAUUUAUAUCUCCUUGGGUGCCAUUCAGUGACAGAAACAUAAUCAUCUUUAAGCCCAUCUGCUGGAUUAGCUUUUGGAUUUCACUUCUGGUGUUCUGUGUAUGCUACCACUACAGAAUUCCUAUUACAGCACCUUUUCUUCAUGUCACUCCCAAAACAUAGACAUUAUAAUUAGGUGUCUGCAUUUUAAUGAGCACUUGUAGCUGUAUGUAAAUACUUUAAAAUCACAGUAUAGCAGAGUUCUAAAAGUGUUAAGGGUUUUUUAUUUUGUGCUAUGUAAGAUGGAUGUGUUUUUAAUAUGGUAGAAAAGCUAGUACUUUCCUGGGCAGUAUGACAAUAUUAUAUAUGAAUUAAAGCUACUUCUGAAUUGUCUGCUCAAGUUCCACUGUGACCGCUCAGUGUUUAUUAAAUAAUUUAUUGAUAACAUCUUGAAAUCUGCCUGUGAUAAAAUAUUCAUGUACCUAAUACAGUAUUUUCAUGCUAAAACAGCAGUGAUGACUGGCCAUGUAAAAUACUUUUAGUAAACUCUUUUAAUCUAAAAUAAGUCUAGUAUUUCUAAUCACUUAGUAAUUAUUUAAAAUUUUAAUUUUCCAGAGGAUGAAAUUAUGUCCUAGCCCUGCUGUAAAAAUUGUUUUUAUAGGCAUUUACUUCAUAUGAUUUAAAAUGAAGUCCUAGAUAAUGAUUUUGCAUUUGAGUGUUUAAUUACUGAUGUCAAUACAUAAACAUCAUAACUCUACUCAGAUAAUAAUUAAACUUAAACUGGUAGUAAAGGAAGUUUAGCUUCCUGGAAAUUUUAUCUGAAACUUUUCAGUACAAACUGAACUCCACUACAAGUCUGCAUCUACUACAUGUUUGGAAGUAUCAAUAUCAGAAAUGAAACAAUUUAGUUUUAUAUAAGAAAGUUGGGCAAUAGGUAAUUUCCAUUUUUAUGCUGUGUACAUUUAGUUUUAUGGGCUUUGAAGAGUAAAGUGGUGUUUAUUCUUUUACUAGUUAGAAAAACUAUUUUGAUCUUUAGUUAUUUUUAAAUUCAUAAGAAAAGGCCUAAUACAGUUUUUGGCAUUUGCUAAUAUUUAGCAUUACAUUUAUUGCACAAACCACAUUGUUUAAAGUCA